rnacentral:rRNA from 1 species
UUGCACGCUGGCGGCCUGCCUUACACAUGCAAGUCGAACGGUAACAGGUUAAGCUGCCGCGUGGCGAACGGGUGAGUAAUGUAUCGGAACGUGCCCAGUCGUGGGGGAUAACUGCUCGAAAGAGCAGCUAAUACCGCAUACGACCUGAGGGUGAAAGCGGGGGAUCGCAAGACCUCGCGCGAUUGGAGCGGCCGAUAUCAGAUUAGGUAGUUGGUGAGGUAAAGGCUCACCAAGCCGACGAUCUGUAGCUGGUCUGAGAGGACGACCAGCCACACUGGGACUGAGACACGGCCCAGACUCCUACGGGAGGCAGCAGUGGGGAAUUUUGGACAAUGGGCGCAAGCCUGAUCCAGCCAUGCCGCGUGCGGGAAGAAGGCCUUCGGGUUGUAAACCGCUUUUGUCAGGGAAGAAAAGGUUCUGGCUAAUACCUGGGACUCAUGACGGUACCUGAAGAAUAAGCACCGGCUAACUACGUG